CGCGAAUUUCAGUCGGUCCACACAGGCUUCGUAACGUUAUUAUUUAUAUAUGAAAAGGGAAUAGUUUUAAAAUAUUUACAAAACAUUGCGCGGGUUAAAACGUUAAAUUCGUACACAUAAUAUUAUUUCUUUACCGUGACCCGGAACGAUAUACGCUACAAUAUCCAACAUUAAACAUACAAAUAUACAGAUUGUCCAGGCACUUAUCUGGGGGGCGGGGCAUUAUUUUUUUUCUCUUGCGAAUAGUCCGAUAUUCUCCCUGGACUAACUAUAGUGCGUGUCCUCUUUUUUUUAAAUUUGUUUCCUUAGUGUUUCUACCGGUUUUUAGUACCUAGCUAAUUCUGUCUAGUUGGCGGGACAUUUUUUGAUAUUCGUUAUGUACUCUUUUUUUUUUUUUUUUUUUUUU